GAUGAACGCUGGCGGCGUGCUUAACACAUGCAAGUCGAACGGUGAAGCUCCAGCUUGCUGGAGUGGAUCAGUGGCGAACGGGUGAGUAACACGUGAGCAACCUGCCCCUGACUCUGGGAUAACAGCCGGAAACGGCUGCUAAUACCGGAUAUGCACCAUGAACGCAUGUUCUGUGGUGGGAAAGAUUUUUCGGUUGGGGAUGGGCUCGCGGCCUAUCAGCUUGUUGGUGAGGUAAUGGCUCACCAAGGCGUCGACGGGUAGCCGGCCUGAGAGGGUGACCGGCCACACUGGGACUGAGACACGACCCAGACUCCUACAGGAGGCAGCAGUGUAGAAUAUUACACAAUGGGCGAAAGCCUGAUGCAGCAACGCCGCGUGAGGGAUGACGGCCUUCGGGUUGUAAACCUCUUUUAGCAGGGAAGAAGCGAGAGUGACGGUACCUGCAGAAAAAGCGCCGGCUAACUACGUG
rnacentral:rRNA from 1 species